GAUGAACGCUGGCGGCGUGCCUAAUACAUGCAAGUCGAGCGAACAGAUAAGGAGCUUGCUCCUUUGACGUUAGCGGCGGACGGGUGAGUAACACGUGGGUAACCUACCUAUAAGACUGGGAUAACUUCGGGAAACCGGAGCUAAUACCGGAUAACAUUUGGAACCGCAUGGUUCUAAAGUGAAAGAUGGUUUUGCUAUCACUUAUAGAUGGACCCGCGCCGUAUUAGCUAGUUGGUAAGGAAACGGCUUACCAAGGCGACGAUACGUAGCCGACCUGAGAGGGUGAUCGGCCACACUGGAACUGAGACACGGUCCAGACUCCUACGGGAGGCAGCAGUAGGGAAUCUUCCGCAAUGGGCGAAAGCCUGACGGAGCAACGCCGCGUGAGUGAUGAAGGGUUUCGGCUCGUAAAACUCUGUUAUUAGGGAAGAACAAACGUGUAAGUAACUGUGCACGUCUUGACGGUACCUAAUCAGAAAGCCACGGCUAACUACGUG
rnacentral:rRNA from 1 species